CUACGGAGGGUGCGAGCGUUAAUCGGAAUUACUGGGCGUAAAGCGCGCGUAGGCGGAUAAUUAAGUCAGAUGUGAAAUCCCCGGGCUCAACCUGGGAACUGCAUUUGAUACUGAUUAACUAGAGUAUGGUAGAGGUGAGUGGAAUUUCCGGUGUAGCGGUGAAAUGCGUAGAGAUCGGAAGGAACACCAGUGGCGAAGGCGACUCACUGGGCCAUUACUGACGCUGAGGUGCGAAAGCGUGGGUAGCAAACAGGAUUAGAAACCCCAGUAGUCC
rnacentral:rRNA from 1 species